AUUCAUGCCCGAUGCAUUCAAACGGUCCUUUUGAUAAUUCUAGGUGGUUAAGAAUUACAAACAUAGAAAAGCUGGAGUGGCAGUGACUGCUAAGGAAUCACUUCUCCGGCCCCCGCACCCGCUCUGCUUUUCUCUUCUUUUCCAGGGAAGAUCAAGGCUUUGGUUGGGAAAGACCGAGAACUGCACUCAGCCUGCAGCCAAGUCAGAGCCCCUGCCCAGCAUGGAGGCCUCAAGUUACACUGUGAUCCUGAGAGUACCUAGUACAUCUGUGUGUGCAGAGUUGAAAAUGCCUUCUGAAUAAAGUCAUUGUUUUUUAAUCACCAAAGAAGAAUAAGUGAGUAUUCAGAGAUUUGCAACUGUUUCGUCUUCCAGAGAAAGAAAAGCACAU
rnacentral:lncRNA from 12 species